AAAGAUGAUGUCUGAGCAGGUCAAUAUUAAGGCUAUUCUGUCUCAAAAGCUACAGUAAUGCCAACUGCCAGUUAAGAAAGCCCAGCCCAGACAGGAGAGGCUGUCGUGAAGGUAAAUUCUACUCCCAACUUAUUCUUGUCCUCUGUCACCUGAAAUGUUAUUGUGCCAACAGGCAUUUAAUGGAUUAAAUUACAAAAGCCCAGAAGAAAAGCCAGACAAAAGUAAUUAGAGAAGAAAGAAGCACAGAGAAACUCCAUGCGACAGAGGAGGUCACACAACCGAAGAAAACCAGAGUGGACUUAUGUAAAAACAGCAGAGUUCUCCUUUGAGCUUCGAAUGCUAUUUUAUUUUAAUUGAGUUCUCCUGUUGGUUGAAGAUCACCUGCUGGCAAUUUAAGGAAAUAAUAAAGCAACUCUUUAGUUCCAAGCAUUCCUCAAUAAAACAAACUAUGAGACAAGGAAAACAAUGGAACUGAGUGCUGUGUUUAAGUUCAAGCAACUUCUCAGAUCAGUGUCUUACCUGAGUCAUCAAACAACACAAUGUAUUCUCUUACACAAUUAUAAUAUGCUGCCCCCA